ensembl:misc_RNA Metazoa_SRP Metazoan signal recognition particle RNA
GCUGGGUGUGGUGGCAAUGCCUGUAGUCCCAGCUAUUUGGGAGUCUGAAGCAGGGAAUUUGAAUUUGGGUUUGGGAAUUCUAGGCUGUAGUGCGCUAUGCCCAUCUAAGUUGAGCAUCAGUAUGGUGGCCUCUGUGGAGUGGGUCACCACCAGGUUGCCUAAAGAGGAGUAAACUGGCUUAGGUCGGAAACAGCACAAGUCAAAACUCCUGUGCUGAUAAGUAGUGGGAUCAAGCCUGUGAAUAGCCACUGCAUUCCAGCUGGGCAACAUAAAUAGACUCUGUCUCUU